rnacentral:rRNA from 1 species
CCUACGGGAGGCUGCAGUGGGGAAUAUUGCACAAUGGGGGAAACCCUGAUGCAGCGACGCCGCGUGAGUGAAGAAGUAUUUCGGUAUGUAAAGCCCUAUUAGCAGGGAAGAAAAUGACGGUACCUGAUUAAGAAGCCCCGGCUAACUACGUGCCAGCAGCCGCGGUAAUACGUAGGGGGCAGGCGUUAUCCGGAUUUACUGGGUGUAAAGGGAGCGUAGACGGCAGCGCAAGGCUGAAGUGAAAUGCCGGGGCUUAACCCCGGAACUGCUUUGGAAACUGUGCAGCUAGAGUGCAGGAGAGGUAAGUGGAAUGCGUAGUGUAGCGGUGAAAUGCGUAGAUAUUAGGAGGAACACCAGUGGCGAAGGCGGCUUACUGGACUGUAACUGACGUUGAGGCUCGAAAGCGUGGGGAGCGAACAGGAUUAGAUACCCGUGUAGUC